UUUUGAUCGCCUAAUGAAUACCUGCCAACGUAGAGAUGAAGAGAGCACACAUUUUGGAGGAGUUUUUUUCAAGAAUUUUUUUUUUUUUUUAAAGCAUGUUAGCUGUCCAUCUCUUUGCUGUGGACUUGGAAACCACGAUGCAGCAUCGGCAGAGUGUUCUUGGCAUCACCACACUCUUGGCAAGUGCUUCGCGUUUCAUCUAGAACUCAGAGACCGUUCUAGUUACACAGAAGGCUGAGAACAAGACGGCCUCCAGCCCAGAGAGGUCUGGGCUGACUGCCGGGGGCUGACUUCCCCAGGACUCAUCCCCAGCCCCUCGAACUGCACCCCUUCUGGAAGAUUGCCUCACUCCAGCCUCUACAUCCCCCUUGCUUUGGAAGAUGCUCUUCCUUCCCCCUGGAAUAUUCCUCAUCACCGUUCUAUGCCCUAGAUCACCUGGGCUGGGAUCCAGGUGCCUCUGCCUGAGCUAAGUCCCUGCUCUGUGCCCCCAGGGCACCGUGGAUUCGCCCAACCAUGCAUGACAUCCAGGACACUGGAAUGCCCUGCUCUCUGUCUGGCUGCCUCCCGGCCGGUACCCUCCAGGAGGGCAGGGACAGGGACCACGAAACCCUCAGUGGAUGUUUGCAGAGUGGACACAUGGAGAUUGGCUGGCUCCUCUCAUUUUCUGCCCCUACCUCCCUCAGAGGCAAUACCUUCAGAUGGCAAUAUAUUCAUUUCAUCUGGACCCACUUCUGACAGCCAUUUUGUUCAGUAACAGAGAUGCUGGAA